CCUACGGGGGGCAGCAGUGGGGGAUAUUGCACAAUGGGGGAAACCCUGAUGCAGCGACGCCGCGUGUGGGAAGACGGUCCUCUGGAUUGUAAACCACUGUCCCCAGGGACGAAGAUGACGGUACCUGGGGAGGAAGCUCCGGCUAACUACGUGCCAGCAGCCGCGGUAAUACGUAGGGAGCGAGCGUUGUCCGGAAUUACUGGGUGUAAGGGGAGCGUAGGCGGGACUGCAAGUUGGGUGUCAAAUCUACCGGCUCAACCGGUAGCCGCACUCAAAACUGCAGUUCUUGAGUGAAGUAGAGGCAGGCGGAAUUCCUAGUGUAGCGGUGAAAUGCGUAGAUAUUAGGAGGAACACCAGUGGCGAAGGCGGCCUGCUGGGCUUUUACUGACGCUGAGGCACGAAAGUGCGGGGAUCGAACAGGAUUAGAUACCCCUGUAGUC
rnacentral:rRNA from 1 species